CGGACGAAACAGGGGUGCCGCGCCCGCCGGGCGCGGCUGAGAAAGACCCUCGGCACCCGAUCCAGGUCAUGCUGGCGUGGGGAGUUUCGACGGUGGACCG
rfam:Acidovorax citrulli AAC00-1, complete genome.